GUCCACGCCCUAAACGAUGUCGACUGGUUGUUGGGGGUUUGACACUCUCAGUAACGAAGCUAACGCGUGAAGUCGACCGCCUGGGGAGUACGGCCGCAAGGUUAAAACUCAAAGGAAUUGACGGGGACCCGCACAAGCGGUGGAUUAUGUGGAUUAAUUCGAUGCAACGCGAAAAACCUUACCUACCCUUGACAUGUCCGAGAGCCCGUAGAGAUAUGGGUGUGCCCGAAAGGGAAUCGGAACACAGGUGCUGCAUGGCUGUCGU
rnacentral:rRNA from 1 species